rnacentral:rRNA from 1 species
CCUACGGGGGGCAGCAGUGGGGGAUAUUGCACAAUGGGGGAAACCCUGAUGCAGCGACGCCGCGUGAGUGAAGAAGUAUUUCGGUAUGUAAAGCCCUAUCAGCAGGGAAGAAAGAAGACGGUACCUGACUAAGAAGCCCCGGCUAACUACGUGCCAGCAGCCGCGGUAAUACGUAGGGGGCAAGCGUUAUCCGGAUUUACUGGGUGUAAAGGGAGCGCAGGCGGCGUGGCAAGUCAGAUGUGAAAACCCGGGGCCCAACCCCGGGAGUGCAUUUGAAACUGCCAUGCUGGAGUGCCGGAGAGGUAAGCGGAAUUCCUAGUGUAGCGGUGAAAUGCGUAGAUAUUAGGAGGAACACCAGUGGCGGAGGCGGCUUACUGGACGGUAACUGACGCUGAGGCUCGAAAGCGUGGGGAGCAAACAGGAUUAGAUACCCGAGUAGUC